rnacentral:rRNA from 1 species
UGAACCAGCCAAGUAGCGUGCAGGAUGACGGCCCUAUGGGUUGUAAACUGCUUUUAUAAGGGAAUAAAGUGAGUCUCGUGAGACUUUUUGCAUGUACCUUAUGAAUAAGGACCGGCUAAUUCCGUGCCAGCAGCCGCGGUAAUACGGAAGGUCCGGGCGUUAUCCGGAUUUAUUGGGUUUAAAGGGAGCGUAGGCCGGAGAUUAAGCGUGUUGUGAAAUGUAGACGCUCAACGUCUGCACUGCAGCGCGAACUGGUUUCCUUGAGUACGCACAAAGUGGGCGGAAUUCGUGGUGUAGCGGUGAAAUGCUUAGAUAUCACGAAGAACUCCGAUUGCGAAGGCAGCUCACUGGAGCGCAACUGACGCUGAAGCUCGAAAGUGCGGGUAUCGAACAGGAUUAGAUACCCUGGUAGUCCGCACGGUAAACGAUGGAUGCCCGCUGUUGGUCUGAAUAGGUCAGCGGCCAAGCGAAAGCAUUAAGCAUUCCCACCUGGGGAGUACGCCGGCAACGGUGCAAACUCAAA